AGUAUCCCACCUGGGGAGUACGCCGGCAACGGUGAAACUCAAAGGAAUUGACGGGGGCCCGCACAAGCGGAGGAACAUGUGGUUUAAUUCGAUGAUACGCGAGGAACCUUACCCGGGCUUGAAUUGCGACUGACUGCAUCAGAGAUGAUGUUUCCAGCAAUGGCAGUCGUGAAGGUGCUGCAUGGUUGUCGUCAGCUCGUGCCGUGAGGUGUCGGCUUAAGUGCCAUAACGAGCGCAACCCUUUUCCCUGUUUGCCAUCGGGUAAUGCCGGGCACUCCAGGGAUACUGCCAUCGUAAGAUGUGAGGAAGGUGGGGAUGACGUCAAAUCAGCACGGCCCUUACGUCCGGGGCUACACACGUGUUACAAUGGGCGGCACAGAGGGCAGCGACCGCGCGAGCGGCAGCCAAUCCCGAAAUCCGCUCUCAGUUCGGACUGGAGUCUGCAACCCGACUCCACGAAGCUGGAUUCGCUAGUAAUCGCGCAUCAGCCGUGGCGCGGUGAAUACGUUCCCGGGCCUUGUACACACCGCCCGUC
rnacentral:rRNA from 1 species